CUACUUCCAAGGGCAUGCAGUAAAUUCAGUUUGGAAAGCUGCAUUACUCAUCCACUGAGAAGAUCAUGGAGAAGUCUAUGCAACUCUGGUUACACCACUUCUUCUCCACAAGAUAGAGUCAUUGCUUGGUUACAUCUAACAUUUACUGUGUAAGAUAAAAUAGCCUACAGAAGAAAUUACUAAAGAGGCUGGAGACAAAAAUAUGCCACUAAUGUGAGAUGAGCCAAUCCACCAUCUAUCCUAAGCUACUGAGUGACUUAACAUGGAUCCUGGUUCUUCAUCAUCUAAGUGGGCCAACAUAAAGCAUCAGCAAGACCACCACUGGCCACUGUAUUUCAAAGUUUCCAUGGAAAUAAAUCGGAGGCAUUACUUUUGGAGCAACUAUGCGGCCCAAGAUAAUUUGUCUUGACUCAGUGUGAUCCAGGCAAGCCAAAAGGUUGCACACCCAUGAAAUAAGCCAAGAAAGUACAUGGACUGCAAGAAAAUUCUUUUUGGUCUACUGACAUCCCUGUUUAAUUAAUAAGUGCUGUCACACAUUCAGCAAGCACGCAUAUCGCUCUUGGUCUUGGUAAGAGCCACUCUCUUUUCCAGUGCUGUGAGUCACUCAGUCUUCACAAGGUUUUGUCCUCUUCACCAGUCACAAAAAAAUAUUUGUUUGGAAUUUGGUAAACUGAAGUGGAAGUGUCCUCGCUGCUGAGAAUUUACACUGGGACCAGAAUGAUGCCUGCUCUUCCCUCACACAAGGAUGCAGAGCCUAUCGAAGGAAGGGAAUUACGAAAUGACAAGGAUCAUAUGAGCCACUUGGUGCAGUACACACAGAGCAGCUAAAAUAACCAGAAGCAGAGAAGUCAGUGAACAAGGGGUGAUGCCAUCUGUGAUACACAAAGUUAUAAAAGAGUAAGCUGACAUUAUAAAGUGGCUGGAGAAGCUGUGUACUUCCUACAGCAGUAGAGGAGCAUGAAGUGCAAUCCUCCAUCAUUUUUGAGGAGAGAAACUCCGUCUGCAAGCUGUGAAAGCAAACUGGUCGUGUGAUUGCUGUCUGAAGGAGUAUCCUUUGAUACCUAUUGAUUCAAUUGAUUUCAUUUUGUGGAAUGGGUUGGAAAGGGCUGAUCUUUGUCUUCUGUCACAAGGACUGGGAAUUAAAUCAUUCUGUCGCCUUGGGCUCUGAUCAUGUUAAUUCCACAGCCAACAGGCAAACAUGGGCAUGGUGCCUGGCACAGUGGUGAUCUGUACUGUCAUUCAGAAGAUGAAACUGUGCGACAUUCACUAGGAGCCAACUGAAAAGUCACCGGAGGCACCCUGUGGCCUUUUCUUUUGAUGCAUAAACAGAUUUUACUGGAAGAGGGGAGAGUUGCCCAUUGCACCAGAUCAACUCUGCUUUUUCACAUCACUGCUUGGUUGCUGAUGUUGGUCCCUGGCACAGGGCUCUCCAAUUUUCAUCAGACUACUAAGAAUCCCCUCAGUAUUUCAGUGAGAGCAUUUAGGAUACUAAGAUAUAUCUGGUUUGCUUUGGGGUUUUUAUUGUUGUUGCUGAUUUUUUCCAAUCUGUGGAAGGAACUGUCACUAGGAAACCACUGUGGUACGGGAACUAUAUGAAUUCUGCAGUCUUCUUCAUAUCUCUUUAUCAAGUGAUAGAUACAGCCUGUCCACUCCAUUCUUUCCCUUUUUCCUAUUCUGUGACAGCAAAUAAAGACACCAGCUAAAGCCGGUUGUGGAGAUUAGGGCUGUUUUCAGCUCACCUUCUUAGCAAAACAAGGCUUACAUGCUUACUCUGCAUGUAAUCUUAAUGUCUUAUGAACACUUCUAGCCAAUCUCUCCCAAACAUAUCAGAAAAGCUGAGUUGCCAGUACACUUACUUCCUACAUUUUCUUCCAGUUCAGUCAAAAGGAGCAGCCCAAAAAAUCAUCAGCAGCAUUUUUCUGCUGUAAGUGGGAAAGGUAGAAAAACAGCAGGAGAACUUUAUAUUUGCACAAGGAGAUAAUAUAAAUCUCACUUUCAAUCACUUAGUAUCCAUUCACUGAGAGAUGCACAUCCACAAGAAAGGAGGUGCGCAGCAACCCACGUUUUCUUAUGUGAAUACUUGUCAACUAGUAGACAAAUCAAACAAGUCAGUUGGUUCUUUGCAGGCUUACACUUGUGGCAUUGAACUUAAAUCAUUCCUAUUUCUGAAUUCUGGUCCUGAGUUUAGGUAAUGAUUUCUUUCUCAGUAGUGACUUUCUGUACUGGUUGAAACAUAAACUACUUAAAUGACUGUACUCAAUACUUAUUUAUUGUCUCUUGCAGAAUUAUCUUUCCCAAACCUUUCUUGAACUAUAAUGUUAAUCUGGGGAGCUCUGGAUGUAGUCCAUCCUGGAUGUCUGCUCCAGAUAAUACAAAAAAAACCCCGAAUUUUUCAUAAUUCUUUUUAUACAUGCAUGUUGGUUUCUCAGGUAUGUGAUUUAUGGACUCUUUCAGCAUCACUUUCUGCUUUUGAGAAGAUACAGAAAAAAUAGCAGCCCUAAUGCAAGAGGAAGAUGUGAGGAAAAUCAAAAAGCUUUGUGUUCCCAGAGUAGUAAAAAAAUAUCUCAAAAUGUUUUUCUUAAGAAAACAGUUUCUGGCAUGACCAGGAUGUUUUCAACUCAACUUUCUUCUACCUUGUUUAUACAGGUUUGAGCUCCCUCUGAAGGAUCAGCCAUUUCAUUUAGCUGCUGUGUACUUAUUGCUGGAAUAUACCUGGGAUGGUUUGAGUGACAGUCUUCAUUUCUGGUUCGACUCGGAUCACACAGCAAAACAUUUUACGGAGUCAUAACAUCAAGUCCCAGAAACAAUAAGGAAGUCCCAUCUAUAGGAGACAACCUCAGAGAAGUAUUUUAUACAGUUAAAGUACAGAAGCAAGUGUACACUGGGAAAGAUUGUCAAGCCAGACAUAGUCAAGUGAGAAGUAAAGGGUGAUAUCUGCUUAAGCUUUGAAGUUAAUUAAUCACAUAAUGAACUGCUUAGAGAAAUGGUGACCUCCUUACAUCUUGAGGUCUACAAAUCAAAUUAUGAGGCUGAUACUGACUUAUUGAGCAAUGCUAAGACCUCUGGCAUAUCUCUGAUUGGGAAGACUUGGCUAGUACACCCUUCUGGCCAUAAAUAUGGACUGCAUACAGCUCUUUUCAGUCUGAGUUCCCAGCAUCGAUUUGCUGGUGUUUCACAGGCUGACCCCUCAGCCUCUAUGCAUUCCAAAGAUCUUUGGGUCAAGGAGAGGAGGGCAGGCAGCACGCCAGAGCACGAUGCUUCAUGGCAAAGGCUGCACAAUGUGUAUGGCAUUGAUUUCUAGAUGUCAUCUCAUGAAGAAUUUGAUCUUUAAGUUGCACAAAGCGCUUGAAUGCUUUGAGGCAACCAGUAGAGCUGGCAGAGGAAUGCUCUUUUCUGUGGGGCUAUCGUCAAACUUUUGAAACACCAAGAAUUGUUUGAAUUAAAGUGAGGGAAAACUGAGUAUCCUUUACUUGCUCCUGAAAACUCUAUCUGCUCUGGAUAUAUUUUGUGGGAAAAUAAGAUAUUUCUCAUGAAAAUUCAUUCUAAGUCCAUACUAGAAGAACUAUGAGCAUAAUCUUUCAAUUAUCCUAUGAAAGUAGUGAUUUAUUUUAGAAAUAUAGCAAAAUAAGACAUUGCUUUCUCACCAUAUGUGCAUGUGUGUGUAUAAAGGAAGGAAUGCGUAUAUAUUUUAUAUGCAAGUUAUGUAUUCACGUCCAAAACACACGCUCUGUGAGGCUGUGUAGACUUUUUCUGUCUUCCUUUAAGAUUCCCAAGGCUAUAGGAUGUGUUCAGCAGGUGCAAAAACUACUCAGCCGGAGAAACUCAGCUCUAUCACUGUGCACUUUAGAGUAGCUCAGCCUUUUAGUAGCAAUGUUAAAGGCUGUACAGACAGCUACAUUGUAAUUGCUUCUGUUGAGAGUGAGAGAGCAUUAUUUCAUCUGGAAGCUUUUGGUUUAUGGCUACACUCGCACGCACUAAAUCAUCCGUUUGCCUGGUGAUGAGCUACAGCAAGCAGCAGGAGCCUUCAGAUAGCAGGGAGCUCAUGUAAGGUUGUAUUUGGCACCAUCCAAUGGCACGCAGUCCUGUGGGUCUUUAUUCAUUUCAAUUGUGAAUGCCAUGGCAAGAUAAAUUCAGCUUCGUUUGUUCCUGCGAUGGGAAUGGUUUCUCGCCAUGCUGUUACAUACCCUCGUGGAGCCUCACGUGUGUUCAGAAAGGCAACAGAUACUACAGCAGUUUCACAAUUCGCCUUCUGAAAAUGUCCCGUACUCAGAAUGAAAAACACCACCACAAGCAUGGAAAGAACUGGAAACUAAAAUUCCUUUUUUUUUUUUUCAUGGCACAACCAUUUGCAUCUGUAUAUUUUGACUGACAAAUGACCGGUCAGUUUGGAUAAAGCCCAGAGAUCAGAACUAAUAAAUGUAUUGGCAAGAACAUCCAUGGAAACUAGUUUAUUUAAGACAGUAUUGAAAAACAUUUGCCAAGUGGGAAUUUUAAAUAUAUCGUCCUCAGAUGCAUGCACUGGGAAAUCUGGAAGCCAUUCAACCACAUAAUGAGCAGAUACAUAUUGUAUCAUUUAAGUGAACAGUCAUAGCAAUGAAACUUUGAUUGCUUGGUAUUCUCAAAGUGGUUACAAAGCGAUCUACUAAGCAGAAGUGAUUCACAAGAACAAAUCUAAGAAAACAGCACCCUGAUCCUAAGGAUGAGAAGAAGAAAAAAAAAAAACAAAAGAAAAAAAAAAACAGAAAAAGGAAUUGUUGUGAGAAAUGCAGAUGAAUGUUGCUUAAGAGACAGCAACGAAUGCAGCAAAGUCAGAGCAAGCUGCCAGGCUGUGCCUGACGCUCAAAACCUCACAGUCUCAAAGUGGGCCUGGGUCUGCUCUGGAGGGUUCAGGGCAAACCUGAAGAUGGCCAUCACUGGUGGCUGCUUCCUCAGCUGAGCGUGGCUCCUGGCCCUCAGAAAUGGCUGUAGCACCAAGCACAGCCCCAGGGAAAGAUGGACAGGGAGUGAACACAGGCUGCAAAGUGUAGAAAGUGUAAAAUUAUUUCUUGGUGUCUCAGAGACUUCUUGUUCUUUUAUUUUUAUCUUUGUUCCUGCUAGCUCUGACCCUAACUCGCCUUCUUGUCUGGAAAGAAUUAGCAGAGCUUUUUUCCUCCAGCUCUUCUCUACUGCAUAGAAGCAAUUCUGGGCCCUGACAAAAGUCAUGGCUUCAUUUUCUUUAAUUUCUUCCCUGUCUUUUCCUGAAUUAUCUGUAGAUGCUAGUAUCCAAAAAGAUGUGUUCUCAGCAAGGAGUUCUACAGCGCAUCGCACCAUUGAUCCAUACCUGCCAGCUCUCCUCCAAUUUUCGGCUUCUCUUCCCCAGCCUUCUUAGGGAGUCAAAGUGGGCAAAUGGCUGCUGCUCAUCUUGCUGCAACCACAGUCAUCGUACAGACCCAGUGGGGGGAUACAGCAAAUCUGUUCUGAUUAGCGAAGGUAAGCAGGGACUCUGCCGUGCUUGUACCCUACAGUGAGAAGAUCAGCAAGGUCAAGUUAUAUCCGAGAAAUCAACCAACCAUUUUUGGAGUGCCGGCCAAAAUCCUUAUGUGACCUGACAACGACUGGGGAGCAUCAAAACCUCACUGCUUUUCUCUCUGUGUGUGAGGGAUAUUGGUUCAGACCUGCCUUUCCCAAUACAAACAUAGUUCUUUGUGCAUAUUAUAAAAACACACAGAAAGAAGUGCUUUGCUGCCCAUUUGUCCCAUGCUGGGAAGGAACAAAUUGAACAAACAAAUGGCAUAUGUUAGUCACAGUGCUUCAUACACUGCUGGAAUGUGUUCAGAUACUCUGGUGCCUUCUAUUAAGAUCAUGGUAAAUUAAAUAUAAAUGGUUUUUAAGGACUAAACUGUGACAUCUGAAAUGAAGUUUGAAUUACAUGAAGCCAGACAAUGUGAUAUCCAUUAGAAAAAGUGUUUACUAGCCUUCAUGAAGUACACAUGUGUUGUGAAAACACUCAUCUGGCUAAAUCAAAAAUGACUGAAUAAGGUAAUUCUGACUUUUUUUGUAGUGCUAUUCGUAUUAUUUGAGUAGCCAUGACUGUAAAGUUGUCUUUUUUUUACAGAUACUGUGCAUCCUCCUCUUGCACAAAGGGCAGAUGUAAUCAUUUUAAGUGGCAUCACUGAAGCUGGGCAGACAAAUGACAGCUGAUAGGAUUGAGUGGAAGUGUCAGAUUGGUCAAAAUCUGCAAACAUUUUUGUGAGAAAAAAUGUUCACUAUUUCAAAAUUCUUUUCUUUUUGGAAGCUUUGCACCUAUUUCGCUUUUAAGAUUAAUUUUCCAUUGCUCCUGCUCUCAAUAUUUUCCCUGAAUAUUUUACACAAUGGUUAAAGGGCAUUCUUCAAGGAUAUCGACAGCAUCAUCCAUCCUUUCAUUUCCAAAUUCUCUGACAGGCAUUAUGGCACUUUGCAAAUCCGUCAAUCCUUUUAGGGGGAUUAGGAACAGGACCAGAGUUUUUACAGUCGAUUUCCUCUCAAUUCCCAGUAGUUUAACGGUUGUAAUCCUUUCUCAAACCAGAAGGUGGCAAGCACUCGUAAAGUAUGAGCUGCACCAAGACAAGAACGUCUCCUUUCCGAUAAAUCUCAGCCACCAUUGCCAUCUGCUCAGCGUCCAGCCUUGGGUUUUCCAGCCAGAGAUCUCUGUUUAGCAGCGUCCAGUAAAUCACAGCAGGACAGUGCUAAAAAGGGAAACAUGGAAGGGAUUGAAGCAUUUCUUCCGUUAUCAUUCAAAAAAAAAAGAAAAAAAAAAAAUCCCUGAGACAAAUGUAGACAAUAAUUGUGCAGAAAAUAAAGCUGACCGGAAAAAUGGAAUUUCCGCUCUGGCAAAGGGAGGGCUCUGCAGGGAUGGGCUCAGUGCCAGGGCUGACAGAAACACGGGGCACCUGGAGUGAGCCCUGCAGCCACUGCCCCAUUCAUACGGCCAUUCAACUGCAAAACGUGAUGUGACAAUUUGCGUGGAUUUUCCCAGAAGGAAAAUAGGCAUUAACCUUAGUUAUUGGUUUUCAGCAGUGCCUAAGCUGUGCAAUUUUCUGCUCAUCAAUCCAUCCGAGGAAACUGAGUAAUUUAUGUGCACAAACAACUACAGCCAAUGUAUUCCGGGUGCAUUGGCAGGAAUUUACUUCCUUUCUUUUCAAGAAUUUUAAAUUUCAACCUGUAGCUUAUCCAUGGGAAGAGAUCCCUCAGGUCAUCCUACACAGGGGGGAAGCUGAAGGGUGAAUUAAUACAACCUCCAAAUCAAUGUCUUACAAGAAAAUAAUAUGCCUUCCACUUUCGAAAUGUUUACAUUGUUAAUUAAUUUUAGCACCUGGGCUAAAGACUUCGUGUCAGCUGGAUUCUUCCUAUGACAUCCUAUGUUUUAUAAUACAAUAUGAAUCAAUUGGUGGGGAGGAAGGUUUUCAAGCAAAACACUACAUUUCUGAGCUUCUUUUUCAGAAGGCCUCAAAGCACCAGGAGGGCAAUGCAGCCCUCACUGCCCAUGAGAGCCGACAAGUGCUGAUGACUUGAAGGCUGUGACAAUACAGUCCUGUCUGACAUUAAUCUGGGGCUGGGAGUGAGAGCUGUUCCUGCCUCCUCAUGACCUCCAUUAUUCACCGUCUGAGUGACUGCAGUGCUGACAAUCCAUGCUCAUCCACACCAGCCCACGCCAGGCAGUCAGCAGGAAGGUGCAAAGACAGAUUUAACAAGGCAGUUCCUUGCUAAUCAUCAUGUGCAUUAAAGAAGAUGGGGCAGAAUGAAGAAUGAAAAUCCUAAGGGAAUCCUAAACAGAGAGACAUAAAUAGGAGUUUAAAGGGUGAAUUGCAUCAUUUGCCCUGCUUACAGGUAUCUACUCAGGCAGCAAAAUGUUAUUGCCUGCUGAACCCAGCUUCUGCUUAAUUCUGCCAACUGGCAAAAUGUUUAUUAUCCCACGUUUAAUAGGUGUCACUGCAGACCCGGACUGCUAAAUGGGUGCCUUCUUCUGGAUUGGACUCAGAGUAAGCACGGACCAAGGUACAAAAAUAAUUAAAACAAGUUGCUAUUGAAUAGGAUUUGCAAGUGAGGAUUCUUGCAAGCAGAAGGCUGAGGCUGAAAAGUGAAAGCUGCAGAGGCUUUCUGACUUUUUAAGAGAAAAACACUGCCUCAUCUUUUCUCCUGAUACACACUGGUACUCUCUCUGCUCCUCUGCACCUGCAGAAAUGGAUGGAUGCUCCAAGUCUGUUCUGUUUCUGUUGGAAGAACUGUGCUAGACAGCUCAGGAGUCUGCAGGUGCCAGCCAGAGCAUGUUUUGCCAAGCAAAGGAGACUGCUUUGUGCCUCUGAAGGAAGGCUCAGGGGCAGGUUUUGCACUGGAGAACUUAUCUACAACAUAGAGUUCUUCCUACGUAAGACAGACAAACCAUAAGCCAUGCAUCAAAUACUGGUUCAGGGGAGCUCAACGAGUCCUCUCAGAUGAAUACAAAAUUCACCUAAAAAUGGAUUUCCAGAAGAACUGACAAGUUGGUUGGUGUGACACAUGGACUUUUUGCAGGUGGGUAAGGGGCAAGAAAGGACAAUGAGAAAGGACACGGCCAAUUCUUAUGUCAGUGUUCUCAAACUGCAACCUUUCUGUUUUGUUUCUUUGCCUCCUAAAUGGCAUUUUUACCUCAUUAAAAUUAAAGUAGAUUUUAAUAUUAAAACAGCUGUUAAAUAAUGUGAAAACAGAAUAAGUUCACCCAGAUUAAAAAUGUAUAUAUGUAUCCUUUUUUUUUUUUUUCUUUGCUCCAUUUCUCCAGAUUCUUCCAGGUCAACUCUAACAAAAUCUUUCCCCUACCUCUGGUCUGUCCAUUACUAGGCCAUGAUUUAUUUAGCUCUAAGCCUAUGCUUAAAGGUGCGUCUGAAGCUUUUUCCAACUGCUGAUAUCACAGCGCUGACACUAUGCUGUGACUCUCCUCUGUGACCCUCGUGCUUUCAAAUGUCCCCUGCCUCAGACUUCUAAAGAAUAAAGAAAUAGCUGUGGUUAGUUUGCUAGGUCAAAAGCAGCCCAGCUGAAAACAGACACUUACGUUCCCCCCUAGCUAUGCCUGCAUCUGAAAUCAGGGGAUUUUCUUUUCAAGUUUCGUCAGCUUUCCAACUCUUUCAAGAAAGAGAUCGAAAGGGGAAAGAAAGGAGAGAGGACUGUAAACCUUAAUGUGCAUACAGCUGUGACAGGGAGCAAAUGCAGGGAAAAUUCUCACUGCAGUUGGCGUGUCCUCCUGCAGCCCAGGCUGAAGCAACCCCUGUGGCUGCUGUGCUGUUGGCGGGUGUUCAGUGCAUCGCAGCUGAAGAUGCUCAUGUGAACCCAUGGGAAUCUGUUCUGCCAAGUUCCUCGUAGCUCUGCUCGGUUCGGUCUCAUUUUUAUUUAAUGCUCUUCUCUCCCCUACUGUGGUUUGGUGCGGCUCAUUUCUGCAGCUUCCAUGAAGAUGCAAGGGUGAGAAGUAUUGCGGAGUUAAGAGAAGAGAAAGUCUCUCCAUCUCUCUGUCGUCCUGCUCAGACCCGAGAUUUAGACAAGGAAGAAUGGAAGAUUCGCUCGAAGGCGGCCUGAGAGUCUGCUGAGAAAGGAUGAGCCACAGCAGAGGAGCACCAAACAAGCAAACAGCAACAAAAUGCAUCUCGGCAAGGAGGAGAUUCAAGAAGGAAACAACAACCCAAGAGCAAGGAGGUUGUGAAUCAGCCAAACCUCUGGGAGACAUCAUGCACAGAGGAGGAGACACCAAGACUCCAUGCUCAGGAAAACUGAUAUACUUCUGUUAGUAGUCUUGGGUCUCAUUUGCAUUACCAUGCAUUACCAGUACUUAGAGAUAUGUUUAACUUUAAGGACAUGGGUGAUUGUGGUCUGAAAGCAGCAAUGUGGUUUUAUCUGCUUAUGUGCUCUAUAUUCUCAAAGGGAAACUGUUCCCACUUUUCAGAAACAAAACCUAAGAAUGUGACUGGGAAAAUGAGCCUGGGACAGAAAAAUCAGACCAACAGUCUAAAAGAUAUAAAAUAAAAUAAAAUAAAAUAAAAUAAAAUAAAAUAAAAUAAAAUAAAAUAAAAUAAAAUAAAAUAUGUCACAGCCUAUUGUAAAAAAAAAUCAUUUCUAACUAAGAAAAAGUGACUUGCAGGACUAAUUUGAGAAUAUAUUUGUCAUAAGCCAGCUAAGAUGAGCCAAGCUUUUUAAAUCAGUCCAUCCCUGCCUCCUUUGGCUGGUAGCAAGGAGAAAGAAACUUGGUGUGCAGCUGGAAGACUGAUGCCAAGCUAAUCGAAUGUGCGUGCAGAGGGAGCAGCAGAUGACAAGGACAGGAUUGGCAGGAUGUCGCCAGAUUGUUUGAUUAGCAAUGGGAUGGCUCAAGUGCUCCCUGUCCUACCAGGAACUUGGCACAGAUGCUGACACGUGACUCAGUCCCCAAGCAGUUGUUCUCUGCAGCACUGUUUGAAAAAGGGCUCUGCUUCUCCAAAAACAGGAAGGGUAUUAACAAAAACAAAAACAAGGAUGAGAAAGAAAGGCUAUGAGACUGUGUCUAUAAAUGUUAGAUUCUGGCUAUUCUUUCUGUUAAUACCACCCAAACUUCAGCUGAAAUGAAAUAUUUGACUUGGGAUAAAAAUCAGAUAGUCUGAAAUUUAACCCAGCAAAAGUAAUAUGAGGGAGCAUUGAUGAGUGGGUAUUUUCCUUCCCCUACAGUUUCGCCAUCCAUGUUAUUGCUUUCUUUCUGUGUGUCAGUUUAGACCAACCUGCCACAAAAAAAAAUAUUAUUUUUUUCCUAGGAGACAAAUAUGGUGAGAAAGGCAGCAACACUAUCUUCUAACACCAAAGUUGCAAAUCUAUUCUGGUGAAGCUAAGUGAAAAAUGAAGCAAACUGAUUUCAGAGACAUAUACGUAGGCCUAUGGAGAAAGCCCCAAGCAUAAAAACUAGCUCUCAGCACGAAACAUGGGUAGCAAUUGCCUUUGAUUACUAACAGCAGGUUUUUCAGUCUAUGGACAAAUGUGUAGAUUAUGAGCAAUUUUCUGAGGCAUCUAAAUCAGCAUAUUCAGAUAGAAACAAAUUUUUGAUGCUAUGGCAUCACUGCUACAGUCCAAAUUACAUUGCGCAGAUGUACAUGUAAAUAUCUUACUUGCACUAAAGGCAGCUCAGAAAAAUCAGGGAAUCUGACAUCUCCCCUGAGAUUUUUAAGAUAGUUCAAAUGAUAAAAUAAGUAAGUUCCUCAGAAACAAGAUGGGUGUUGGUGACAGUUUGUACAUUCAGCACAACAAAUAAUCAGCUGCUAUGAAUUUGGAUAACCCUGUUAAAGCCAACAGAACAGAAACAGUUUUUAUCAAGUUACAGCUAGUCCAGAGCAUAUACAUGAGACUUGUACAUAACAAUACUGCAGAUAUAUGGAGAAACUGUAAUGCAGACAGCAGCUUUAUAGUGGGCUUUCAUAUGCCUAUAUACUUCUAAACUGUAUGUGUAACUACAUUCUUGUCAGUUCUUCAGCCUUUUCAGAUGGAUAUGUUACUUCUCUCUAACGUGUCAGUUUUCUGACUAACCUGUCAUAACAAUCUAUGACACCACUCUCUAACAGCUUACCACUGCUUUACAUGAAAUGUGAGGGUUUGUCUGCAGUCACACAUAGGAAUCAUAUUCCAAAAUAAGAGUGUGGGGGAGACGUCUGUAAGUAUAGAUGUAAGCGCAUACGUAUGUAUACGUAGACAGACACACAGAUCCAAAAUAUCUGCCUGUGAAUCAUUGGAAUUACAAUCACAGAGAAUGAAGCAGCACAAGAUGGGAUAUUUCUCCUGAGCUGCACACUGUUUCUCAGCUUUGUGGAAAACUCCUUUUAUGCUGUGACCACAAAUGAUGCACCAUCAGUGGAGUGAUACCGUGUUGCUGAGAAAUGAACUGCUUGUUUGAAUGGACUUUGCAUUCGUUAUAGAAAAGGAACAACUCCAGUUUUAGAUAGAUUCAUUUAUUUACUUUGCGCUGUUUCCAUGACUCAUAAUCCUUUUAAUAAAUCAAACUAAAGAACAUAACAUCAAAUCAGAGAAUCAUAGAAUCUUUAGAGUUGGAAGGAAUGCUUACAGGCCAAGGAGGUGCAAGGAGGUACAGGUUCUUGAUUUGAGUCCCUCUGGAACACUUGAAAACAUAAAACAUAAAAAUUGUUCAAAAUAUCAUCUUUCCAAAUUAAUAUGUGUUCUUGUUCUGUAUUGUGCACACCGACAUGACAUGAUUCCUGGAAUUUCCUGCUGAUAGAACAUUUUUCCAAAGAUGAGAAGAGAUCCAAAACUUUACAUUAGCAUAGUUCAAAUUCACAAGUCCAUGGCCUCAGCCUACAGACAAUGAUGCCCCAGUCUCACUUGCAGCUAUUUCCAUUAGACGAGUGUGGCUGAUGGGUCAGAAUGGAAAAACUCAUGGGAAAAAAGACAACUUAAAAUCCAAAAGAUAAUGUUGGAGGUUUUAUCUGUGCUUCUGACAAUACACGGCUGUUAACUCUACUAAUCUGGGCUUUCUCUAAGGGCUGGCAGGGAAUUCAACAUAACCAAAUCUACUCUCUCUGAGGUGCGGGAACUUUCUGGAGCUUAUAAUGAAAGUCUGGAUGCUCAUGGAAAUCAAAGCUGCAUGCUCCUGCCCACAGAAGAGACAGGCAGCAUUGCCACUGCCCUGUGGCCCCAGAAAUAGAAUGGAAAUCUUUGAGGGACCUAAGAGAGAGGACUACAGCGAACACACAAUCUGUGUUUCCUGUAAACUUCUUCAUUUUCCCUCCAUCCUACUUUCAAAUGAAAACAGUCCCUACUGUUCUGAUGUAGGGGAGAAGUCUUUCCUGAUACAUAGCUUAACCUUAAAUGCUUAAAAGAGAAGGCAAACAGGUCCCAGAAAGGCUUAUCUGCAUCACAGAGGACACUAGUACCUCCUACCCCUCUCUUUCCAGUUGAAACUUAUCUUGGAUGUUUCAGAAAAAAAAGAUGAAGAGAAAGAGAAAAACAGCCAAGCAUUGUGUAAGGAGGUGUGAAACAUGUUUCUGGCCUUUACUUUCAUUCUGUGCUACCAUCUCAAAAUCUUUUCCUUGUUUCUGGGCAUCCUGUGUGACCCUUGUAAUUACAGUGAAUGUCUCUCAGGCAACAUUAACCCCUGCCCUGAUCCAUCUCUAACAAUGAUUGCAUUAAAAACUUCACUGUGUCUGCAGCUAUUUAAUCAUUCAUCACCUGGAAAGUGGUACUGCUCUACUGCUCUGUGACUGUGGCCAUUAGUGGUGACAAGCAAGGUCUUCCUGAAAUUAAGAAUAUGACAGUAUGAGCUGGCUUAGAUUCGGCCUUUUACAGAUACAUCCAAUAAUGAAAACUCCUUCACAUCGGUACUGUCCAAAGCCCGCUGACGUCAGUGGAGAGAUCUGAUCUCAGUGGGCUUUAAAUCAGACUCUAUAGCUAAGGCUUCCAAAGCAGCUGGGGGGAUUCAGGCACGUAUCUUUCAUUAAAGUGAGGGUAUAUUAAAGCAAAUGGAAGAUAUGUGUCUGAAAUCCCCUAGACUGCUUUGAAAAUCUAAAAUACUGUGCAAGCUGUACAGCUUUCUCUAUAAAAAUAGCUGCCAAAUCUAGCUUUGGUAAAGGCAAUAGAACUGCAUUAAAAGAUCCGCAGAAAGGCCUGGUCCCUCUGAUCCUUUAGGAAAACAGAGAGAAGGAUGGCCAGAGUGCUUUAUUUUCAGCUUUAAACCGUUCCCACGUCAAAGACAUUUGCUCGAGCAAUUUAUGGGAAUGGCAUAGUAGCCAAAAGAAAAGUAAUGCUACUCUUGUCUACGUAGAUGUCACACUUAUAUGGCUCAUCAAGCUGGGAUCAGGACUGCAACAUCUCUCGUGGACAUUAAGGAAUAUUUGAUGUGGGUUUCUCCAUGAGCCUAUGUGCAAGACUGAUCUGGUUGCAAAUUCAUGUUGAUAAGGCUGAGCCCAAGACAGCACCACCAUCAUUCCAGCAGCUCCUCUCAGGAGAAGUCUUGGUACAGACCCUUCUCCUCCUGUCCAGCUUUCAUGGGGACACAGCACUGUACCUCAGCCCCACGUAAGAACUCCCUCUGUUUUCUGAGAAGCAGUGAGACAAGCCUUCUUUCCUAUAGCCCACAAUGACAAUCUACUUAUUAUUCAGACACAGCCUCGCCUAAUUACCUUGUUAUUUUGUGGCAGGCUAGAACAAGGUAGCACCAUUAAGUCAAGUGUCUUCAUUUUAGCCAUCCACUGCCUUCAUUCUUGAUUUAGAAGGCAGUGGCACAAGAGUGGUCUCAGUCACACACAUCCCAUACAGCUCAGGUUGUCGUGCCACUAGCUUACCUUGGUUGUGUAUCUGCUUAUAGACUUUUUUCUUUAUUUCUUGCAUUUUUGGACUACCAAGAACAAGUUACAUUCUGUUAGAGUGACAAAGAGUAAUUGCAUUUUAUGUGUUAUUUCUUGAUGGUAGAGGUACUUCAAACCUCAGAUUGAUUUCAGAUUUCAAAUAUCAGAAAGUUUGAUGCAGUCAGCUCAGGGUGUCCAAUUCUGACCUGUCUCCUGCAAACACAAUCAAAACCUUAUAAGACUCAGAGCUCAGACAAAUGAUAAGCCAAGUCCAGGGAUCUGCCCAUAGUUCAUAUUUUUAGUGCAGGAAGAAUUGACUCAAAGGGAAAAUUGAUGUACAAGAAGAUGUGAUAAAGCUGACGUCCAGAUAGCAUUUGCUCUGCUGAAAUGUUACAACCUGAGCAAGACAAUCUGUGAAAGAGGUAAUUGAGCAUUUGAAAAGCACCUGUUAAUGACGGGUAAGAUAACAACCCCGAGGAACCACCUGUCAGGGCAGGUGAUGAACUCUCCCUCUGAUCUGUUUCUUACUACAGUUUUCUCCAGGGAAACUGGUAGCACAUUCACAUGUCUUUCUAGAGAAAGUUCAUAAUAACAGAGGAUUUAAAUAAACAGAAGAUUGAUUUUAAUGGAAGGUGAAUCAUUUGUGUUUCUUUUUUCUUUUCUCGUGCAGCUGAAAUGUUUUAUCUAGCUUAGAUUAUGAGGAAUGUAAAUAAAUUUAUGUUGAAUGUUAAAUAAACAUUUGCUUUCUUUUUUCCAA